UCAGAUUAUUUCUCGAGAUUAUUUUGUACAUUUAUUUGUGAUUAUUUUCUACAUUUAUUAUAAUUAACAAUUAAAAACUUAUAAGAGUAUCAAAGUGUGCUUUGCGAGUCGUGUAAGUGCAAUAAAAUAAGCAUCAGACGACAGAGCAAUCUUAAGGGAGUUAUCGCUGUCUGUAAAACAAACGUGACCGCGUUCGCUUUAUGAAUGAGCAGUUGCUCGCGCGUGUUGUCGUGGAUCGCGGAUACUACGCGCGUGCUAGCGCACAGCUGAUCGAUCAUGUGAGGCGUGCGACUCACGCAACGCGACGAACAGUGAUGACCUGAUGACUGAUUGUAAAUGUCAUCGCAUCGCGGGAUUCUCGUAUUCGCGAUCGCGCUUCCGCGAUUGCCUAUGCUUUGAUCAGAGUCAUUAUUUUGAGAUUCGUUGUCUUUUGUGAAUCAAUGUAAAGUGGAAUAACCAAAUGAUAGAUAAUGGAAGGCAAAGGUCCCAUAGAGUAAUAAUCUAACAUAGAGAAAGGCUAAAAUUAUUCAUGAAUACUGCAACUACAUUGAACAAUAACUCAGAUGCAGGUUAUAACUAAACUAAACAUGAACUAUUGAUGGACGUUAUAACUCGAAUGAAAUACUUAGACGCUUUCAGAAACAUUAUCGUCGAAAUACCUAUAUUACAAAUAAUGAUUAUUACAACAUCUCAAUUCUCUAAUAUAUUUUGUGAAA